GGAGAGGUUUGGUUGAGCAUGAGGAAAAAGAGAGAAAAUAGUGGCUUGAGUGUUUUUCCGGCAACUUGACAGAGACUCUGUCAAGUGUUAGAACAGCUUGCCAAGAGGGGGGGAAAAUGAUGGGCUAAUCACGAAAUUGCUGGAUUUCGGGAGUAAGAGAGGAAACUUGCUCUCUGAUGUGGUUUAUGCUUGUUGGGUGGAAGAUGCCUCUUUUAUAGCUGCUGGAAGCUGACAUUUCCAAGAAACCCUAAUGGUUUCUAUCCCAUUUUGCCAAGUCUUUCCAUUCUUUUCUCCCAUCAUCC
rnacentral:lncRNA from 1 species